GUAAUGUCUGGGGAUCUGCCCGAUAGAGGGGGAUAACCACUGGAAACGGUGGCUAAUACCGCAUAACGUCGCAAGACCAAAGAGGGGGACCUUCGGGCCUCUCACUAUCGGAUGAACCCAGAUGGGAUUAGCUAGUAGGCGGGGUAAUGGCCCACCUAGGCGACGAUCCCUAGCUGGUCUGAGAGGAUGACCAGCCACACUGGAACUGAGACACGGUCCAGACUCCUACGGGAGGCAGCAGUGGGGAAUAUUGCACAAUGGGCGCAAGCCUGAUGCAGCCAUGCCGCGUGUAUGAAGAAGGCCUUCGGGUUGUAAAGUACUUUCAGCGGGGAGGAAGGCGAUGUGGUUAAUAACCGCGUCGAUUGACGUUACCCGCAGAAGAAGCACCGGCUAACUCCGUGCCAGCAGCCGCGGUAAUACGGAGGGUGCAAGCGUUAAUCGGAAUUACUGGGCGUAAAGCGCACGCAGGCGGUCUGUUAAGUCAGAUGUGAAAUCCCCGGGCUUAACCUGGGAACUGCAUUUGAAACUGGCAGGCUUGAGUCUCGUAGAGGGGGGUAGAAUUCCAGGUGUAGCGGUGAAAUGCG
rnacentral:rRNA from 1 species